rnacentral:rRNA from 1 species
UACGGAGGAUGCAAGCGUUAUCCGGAAUGAUUGGGCGUAAAGCGUCCGCAGGUGGCUAUGUAAGUCUGCUGUUAAAGAGUGAGGCUCAACCUCAUAAAAGCAGUGGAAACUACAUGGCUAGAGUGUGUUCGGGGCAGAGGGAAUUCCUGGUGUAGCGGUGAAAUGCGUAGAUAUCAGGAAGAACACCGGUGGCGAAAGCGCUCUGCUAGGCCGCAACUGACACUGAGGGACGAAAGCUAGGGGAGCGAAUGGG